AGUGGGAUAGCUGGGUCAUAUAGUGGUUCUGAGUUUUCUGAGGAAUCUUUAUACUGCUUUCCAUAGUGGUUGCAACAAUUUGCAGUCUCACCAGCAAU
rnacentral:pre_miRNA from 1 species